CCUACGGGUGGCAGCAGUGGGGAAUAUUGCACAAUGGGCGAAAGCCUGACCCAGCAACGCCGCGUGAAGGAAGAAGGCUUUCGGCUUGUAAACUUCUUUUAACAGGGACGAAAGAAAUGACGGUACCUGAUUAAUAAGCCCCGGCUAACUACGUGCCAGCAGCCGCGGUAAUACGUAGGGGGCAAGCGUUAUCCGGAUUUACUGGGUGUAAAGGGUGAGUAGGCGGCAAGAUAAGCCAGAUGUGAAAGCCAUGGGCUUAACCUGGGGACUGCAUUUGGAACUGUCGAUCUAGAGAACAGGAGAGGCAGGCGGAAUUCCUAGUGUAGCGGUGAAAUGCGUAGAUAUUAGGAAGAACACCAGUGGCGAAGGCGGCUUUCUGGACUGAAACUGACGCUGAGGCACGAAAGCGUGGGGAGCGAACAGGAUUAGAUACCCGAGUAGUC
rnacentral:rRNA from 1 species